ACAGCAGAGUCGGUAGAGCAUGAGACUCCUAAUCUCAGGGUUGGGGGUUUGAGCCCCACGUUGGGCA